rnacentral:lncRNA from 1 species
CAACUCAACUCCAUCAAAUCCAAUGGUAUGUUUUUCUCUUCCUCCUUCAUUCAAUCUUCUUUUUUAUUUUAUUUUAUUUUAACCGUUGUUACAAUGAACUUAAAUGAAUUAUUUACUUAAUAAUAAUGGUGUUGGUGAUGAAGGAAAAGUGCAAUGAAUUUUUAAAACUGUUGAAUGAUUUCAUGACUAUAAGAAUUGGUACAUGUGGCACAACAAAAUUGGAUGAUUUGUAUAAACAGUUUACAAAUUUUAAAUUGAGAUUUAACUCCUUCACACUAAAGGAAUCUCAAUUCACUAAUGGUGAGACACUGGACAAAAAUUUGACAUUGAAGAAUACCAAGAAAUCUGUGCCGGAAUUGAUAGACUAGAGUCGAUGAUUCAGCUUCGUCAUUUUUCAACUUUAUCAACGUCUUUCCGACUAUUCAACAAAUAUUAAACAUUGUGGUGCUGAGUUAUGUAAAUUGUUGGACAAUCCCAAGGCUCUAAGAAUUGAU